UAUACCAACUUUGAUAUACGUUUCCUAUUCUAUCUCUUGUUCAUAACCGUUGGUCAAUAUUGUAGCUAAUAUUAUGUGAUUUAAAUCAUCUGAUUUCUUGCUAUGAGAUUUAAAUCAUCUGAUUUAUUGCUAACAAUUAUUUUAUAGCCGUUGGGUCUCUCUUUAUAUAUAGUCUUAUCUCACGGCUAAGCAGAAGAGAAUACAAGAAGCUAAUUCACGUUGCUAUACAGAGAAGAAUCCUAUUAAGAGCUUUCAUUAUUUAUUUCCAGCUAUUCAUUGUACUGUCUAUAAUUCUUUGUGGCUGGAAAAUAAGAAGUCUAUUGUAAUUUCUUCUAUCAUAUUCAAAGUUCAAGGCUUGUUUGACUUGAUCGAUCUAGUAGUGGAUAGGGUAUGUUCAAAGAGAGCUUUCAAAGUUGCAGAGGUGCAAAGGUCUCCGUGGUGAGAAAGGUUGCAAAGGUGCAAAGGGGGCAGAGGUGUCCAUCAGUGGAAAGCUUCUUUGUAACAGGGAGUUUUUUUUAUUGUAUUUAAUUGAAUAUUAAGUUUAAUAAAAAGAGUCUCCAAUCCUAGUUGGGAUUGGACGUGGAUUAGGCCACUAGAUUAGAGGAUAGGGGCUGAACCACGUAAAAAUCUUUGUGUGAUUUUUACUUAUGUUUAUCUCUGUAACUGUCAUCCACGUUCUGCAUUUUUUUGUUAUUCACGCCACUAUCCAGACACUAAAGCAGACAGGUCUAGCUGUCUGAUAAUAAUAAACGAAGAACAGACACUAAAGCAGACAGGCGUAGCU
rnacentral:lncRNA from 1 species